rnacentral:rRNA from 1 species
CCUACGGGAGGCAGCAGUGGGGAAUAUUGGGCAAUGGUCGCAAGCCUGACCCAGCAACGCCGCGUGAAGGAAGAAGGCUUUCGGGUUGUAAACUUCUUUUCUCAGGGACGAAGCAAGUGACGGUACCUGAGGAAUAAGCCACGGCUAACUACGUGCCAGCAGCCGCGGUAAUACGUAGGUGGCAAGCGUUAUCCGGAUUUACUGGGUGUAAGGGGCGUGUAGGCGGGAAAGCAAGUCAGAUGUGAAAACCAUGGGCUCAACCUGUGGCCUGCAUUUGAAACUGUUUUUCUUGAGUACUGGAGAGGCAGACGGAAUUCCGAGUGUAGCGGUGAAAUGCGUAGAUAUUAGGAGGAACACCAGUGGCGAAGGCGGUCUGCUGGACAGCAACUGACGCUGAGGCGCGAAAGCGUGGGGAGCAAACAGGAUUAGAUACCCUAGUAGUC